GGUUAAGUUACAAAGGGCGCACGGUGGAUGCCUUGGCACUAGGAGCCGAUGAAGGACGGAACUAAUACCGAUAUGCUUCGGGGAGCUAUAAGUAAGCUUUGAUCCGGAGAUUUCCGAAUGGGGGAACCCAGUACACAUCAGUGUAUUGCUUGUCAGUGAAUACAUAGCUGGCCGGCGGCAGACGCGGGGAACUGAAACAUCUCAGUACCCGCAGGAAGAGAAAGAAAACUCGAUUCCCAUAGUAGCGGCGAGCGAAGUGGGAAGAGCCCAAACCGAGAAGCUUGCUUCUCGGGGUUGUAGGACUGGACAUUGGAGUUACCAAAGUCCGACGUAGUCGAAGUCAGCUGGAAAGCUGCGCCACAGAAGGUGAAAGCCCUGUAAGCGAAACGUCGAACCCUCCGUCCAGGAUCCUGAGUACGGCGGAACACGUGAAAUUCCGUCGGAAUCCGGGAGGACCAUCUCCCAAGGCUAAAUACUCCCUAGUGACCGAUAGUGAACCAGUACCGUGAGGGAAAGGUGAAAAGCACCCCGGAAGGGGAGUGAAACAGUUCCUGAAACCGUGUGCCUACAAUUAGUCAAAGCCCGUUAAUGGGUAAUGGCGUGCCUUUUGUAGAAUGAACCGGCGAGUUACGUUUGCUUGCGAGGUUAAGAUGAAAAGUCGGAGCCGUAGCGAAAGCGAGUCUGAACAGGGCGAAUGAGUAAGCAGAUGUAGACCCGAAACCAAGUGACCUACCCAUGACCAGGUUGAAGGUGUGGUGAAACACACUGGAGGACCGAACCCAUGUAUGUUGAAAAAUGCUGGGAUGAGUUGUGGGUAGCGGUGAAAUUCCAAACGAACUUGGAGAUAGCUGGUUCUCUCCGAAAUAGCUUUAGGGUUAGCCUCGGAGGAUGGAUCAUGGAGGUAGAGCACUGUUUGAACUAGGGGCCCAUCAAGGGUUACUGAAUUCAGAUAAACUCCGAAUACCAUCGAUCUUACUCCGGGAGUCAGACAGUGAGCGAUAAGGUCCAUUGUCGAAAGGGGAACAGCCCAGAUCACCAGUUAAGGUCCCUAAAUUUAUGCUAAGUGGAAAAGGAUGUGGCGUUGCACAGACAACUAGGAUGUUGGCUCAGAAGCAGCCACCAUUUAAAGAGUGCGUAAUAGCUCACUAGUCGAGUGGCACUGCGCCGAAAAUAUACCGGGGCUAAGCAUAAUACCGAAACUGUGGGUGCACCCGUAAGGGUGCGCGGUAGGAGAGCGUUCUAAGGGCGUUGAAGGUCGAUCGUGAGGACGGCUGGAGCGCUUAGAAGUGAGAAUGCCGGCAUGAGUAGCGAAAGAUCAGUGAGAAUCUGAUCCACCGUAUGACUAAGGUUUCCUGGGGAAGGCUCGUCCUCCCAGGGUUAGUCGGGAUCUAAGGCGAGGCCGAGAGGCGUAGUCGAUGACAAGCAGGUUGAGAUUCCUGCACUAGUUUAUUUUGUUUAAGCGAUGGAGGGACGCAGGAGGCUAAGGAAAGCGCACGGCUGGAAAUGUGCGCCCAAGCAGCAAGUCUGACAGCGAGUGAAAUGCUUGCAGUCUUAAGGACAAGCUGUGAUGGGGAGCGAAAUUAUAGUAGCGAAGUUCCUGAUGUCACACUGCCAAGAAAAGCUUCUAGUGAGAAAUAAACUACCCGUACCGCAAACCGACACAGGUAGUCGAGGAGAGUAUCCUCAGGUGAGCGAGCGAACUCUCGUUAAGGAACUCGGCAAAAUGACCCCGUAACUUCGGAAGAAGGGGUGCUGACCGCAAGGUCAGCCGCAGUGAAUAGGCCCAAACAACUGUUUAUCAAAAACACAGGUCUCUGCUAAAUCGUAAGAUGAUGUAUAGGGGCUGACGCCUGCCCGGUGCUGGAAGGUUAAGAGGAUGAGUUAGCGCAAGCGAAGCCCAGAAUUGAAGCCCCAGUAAACGGCGGCCGUAACUAUAACGGUCCUAAGGUAGCGAAAUUCCUUGUCGGGUAAGUUCCGACCCGCACGAAAGGCGUAAUGAUUUGGGCACUGUCUCAACGAGAGACUCGGUGAAAUUAUAGUACCCGUGAAGAUGCGGGUUACCCGCGACAGGACGGAAAGACCCCAUGGAGCUUUACUGUAGCUUGAUAUUGAGUGUUUGUACCGCUUGUACAGGAUAGGUAGGAGCCGUAGAGAUCGGAACGCUAGUUUCGAUGGAGGCGUUGGUGGGAUACUACCCUAGCUGUAUGAACACUCUAACCCGCGCCACUAAUCGUGGCGGGAGACAGUGUCAGGUAGGCAGUUUGACUGGGGCGGUCGCCUCCUAAAAUGUAACGGAGGCGCCCAAAGGUUCCCUCAGAAUGGUUGGAAAUCAUUCGCAGAGUGUAAAGGUAUAAGGGAGCUUGACUG
rnacentral:rRNA from 1 species